GCCGUCCCUUGGGCCGAUGAGCUACACCAACAGCAGUGACCGUUACUCCAGCGGCAUGGGCGGCCCUUCAAGAUAUUACAACUGAGGAGGUUGUGGGUACCAGACAAGAGUUGUUCAUCCCUCAAGUUCUCCACUGAUGCAAUUGGCUGCUGAUAGGCUCAGUCUGUUGGACCAAACAUUGUGUUGAUAGUUAUACUUUACAUGUAAAUGUCUGGAAAAAUCAGCCUUCCUUUAGUUUGAAUUAUUGUGAGUGAGUGUUUUAGAGAGAAGGGUGGUAUUGGAAAUAUUUUUGUUGCAAAAAAUGAGAGAACCUCCAUUAUUUUGGAACAGUGUCUUGUGUGCAUGGUCAAGUUUUCUACUUUGCAGAAUAAAAGUUUAAGCUCAGCUUUCA